rnacentral:rRNA from 1 species
CCUACGGGAGGCAGCAGUGGGGAAUAUUGGACAAUGGGCGAAAGCCUGAUCCAGCCAUGCCGCGUGUGUGAAGAAGGCCUUCGGGUUGUAAAGCACUUUCAGUGGGGAAGAAAGCCUUGGGGCUAAUACCCUCGAGGAAGGACAUCACCCACAGAAGAAGCACCGGCUAACUCCGUGCCAGCAGCCGCGGUAAUACGGAGGGUGCGAGCGUUAAUCGGAAUUACUGGGCGUAAAGCGCGCGUAGGCGGUCUGAUAAGCCGGUUGUGAAAGCCCCGGGCUCAACCUGGGAACGGCAUCCGGAACUGUCAGGCUAGAGUGCAGGAGAGGAAGGUAGAAUUCCCGGUGUAGCGGUGAAAUGCGUAGAGAUCGGGAGGAAUACCAGUGGCGAAGGCGGCCUUCUGGACUGACACUGACGCUGAGGUGCGAAAGCGUGGGUAGCAAACAGGAUUAGAUACCGUGUAUC